rnacentral:piRNA from 1 species
UGGAAGGCCUUCUUGUGCUCCAGUCAC